rnacentral:rRNA from 1 species
GCUCAUGAAGACAUCAUAAGUGGGGCCUGCCCAGUGGAAAAUAAAGUAAAUAGUAAUUUAUUUAAAUUUUUUUAAACGGAUGCGGUAACUCUGACUGUAAUAAAGUAGCAUAAUAAAUUGUCACUUAAUUGGUGAAGGGAAUGAAUGGUUAAACGAAUUUCUCACUGUUUUAUUUAAAAUGGUUUUAAAAUUGUAGUAAUAGUGAAGAUACUAUUUCAUACCGUAAGACGAAAAGACCCUAUAGAGCUUUACUAUAAUUUUUUUCUUAAAUUAAUUAUUAACCUUAGUAAUAAUAUAAAAAAAUUGGUAGUUUAGUUGGGGCGACUAUUUUCUAUAGUAAACGAAAAUAAGCAAAAUAAUAGAUUUAUUUAUUGUAUAAUUUAAUUAUUUAACAGUUACUAACGUAGGCUAUAAUGACCCGUUACAUUCUUUAGAGCGAAGUAACGACUAAUUGAUAAAAGCUACCUUAGGGAUAACAGGAUAAUUUUGAUUUAGAGUUCAUAUCAACUUCAAAGUUUGUCACCUCUAUGUUGAAUUGAGAUAUCCUAGUAAUGCAGAAGUUACUAAGGGUUGGUCUGUUCGACCAUUAAAAUCUU